rnacentral:rRNA from 1 species
CCUACGGGAGGCAGCAGUGGGGAAUAUUGGGCAAUGGAGGCAACUCUGACCCAGCAACGCCGCGUGAAUGAUGAAGGUCUUCGGAUUGUAAAGUUCUGUGAUGGGGGAUGAACACAAUGACGGUACCCCAAUAGCAAGCCACGGCUAACUACGUGCCAGCAGCCGCGGUAAUACGUAGGUGGCAAGCGUUAUCCGGAAUGACUGGGCGUAAGGGGUGCGGAGGUGGUUUAGUAAGUUGGCGGUGUAAUUCCGGGGCUCAACCUCGGCGCUACCGCCAAAACUAUUAGACUAGAGUGCAGGAGGGGUAAGUGGAAUUCCUAGUGUAGCGGUGGAAUGCGUAGAUAUUAGGAGGAACAUCAGGGGCGAAGGCGACUUACUGGACUGUAACUGACACUGAGGCACGAAAGCGUGGGGAGCAAACAGGAUUAGAUACCCCUGUAGUC